UGGGAAACCUGCCCAGAAGCGGGGGAUAACACCUGGCAAACAGAUGCUAAUACCGCAUAACAACUUGGACCGCAUGGUCCGAGCUUGAAAGAUGGCUUCGGCUAUCACUUUUGGAUGGUCCCGCGGCGUAUUAGCUAGAUGGUGGGGUAACGGCUCACCAUGGCAAUGAUACGUAGCCGACCUGAGAGGGUAAUCGGCCACAUUGGGACUGAGACACGGCCCAAACUCCUACGGGAGGCAGCAGUAGGGAAUCUUCCACAAUGGACGAAAGUCUGAUGGAGCAACGCCGCGUGAGUGAAGAAGGGUUUCGGCUCGUAAAACUCUGUUGUUAAAGAAGAACAUAUCUGAGAGUAACUGUUCAGGUAUUGACGGUAUUUAACCAGAAAGCCACGGCUAACUACGUGCCAGCAGCCGCGGUAAUACGUAGGUGGCAAGCGUUGUCCGGAUUUAUUGGGCGUAAAGCGAGCGCAGGCGGUUUUUUAAGUCUGAUGUGAAAGCCUUCGGCUCAACCGAAGAAGUGCAUCGGAAACUGGGAAACUUGAGUGCAGAAGAGGACAGUGGAACUCCAUGUGUAGCGGUGAAAUGCGUAGAUAUAUGGAAGAACACCAGUGGCGAAGGCGGCUGUCUGGUCUGUAACUGACGCUGAGGCUCGAAAGUAUGGGUAGCAAACAGGAUUAGAUACCCUGGUAGUCCAUACC
rnacentral:rRNA from 1 species